rnacentral:lncRNA from 1 species
CUGAAUAGCCAUCAAACAAAACAGAACAUGAAUUAAACGAGCCUCUUCCCACUCAAAGAAGGAGCUGUGUGCUGUAAGAGCAAGAGCUGAGGCUUCUUGGUUAACAGAUUCUAGACGCCUGAGGAGUGAGUCCCAAGAUGGAAGAAACCUAUGUGAUGCAGAGGGUGAGACGCCCCGGAGAAGAGGAAUAUAUCCCCUGGGAUGAGA